rnacentral:rRNA from 1 species
AGCCAUGCGAGUCAUGGGGUCCCUUCGGGGACACCGGCGGACGGCUCAGUAACACGUCGGUAACCUACCCUCGGGAGGGGGAUAACCCCGGGAAACUGGGGCUAAUCCCCCAUAGGCCUGGGGUACUGGAAGGUCCCCAGGCCAAAAGGGGCUCUGCCCGCCCGAGGAUGGGCCGGCGGCCGAUUAGGUAGUUGGUGGGGUAACGGCCCACCAAGCCGAAGAUCGGUACGGGCCAUGAGAGUGGGAGCCCGGAGAUGGACACUGAGACACGGGUCCAGGCCCUACGGGGCGCAGCAGGCGCGAAACCUCCGCAAUGCGGGCAACCGCGACGGGGGGACCCCCAGUGCCGUGGCAAAGCCACGGCUUUUCCGGAGUGUAAAAAGCUCCGGGAAUAAGGGCUGGGCAAGGCCGGUGGCAGCCGCCGCGGUAAUACCGGCGGCCCAAGUGGUGGCC